AACUAAUUUGUUCUGACUCAGUCUAUUCAGCCCAUUCGAAAGAAACCUCACUCCAUCUCAUUCUCCUCUGACCUUUCUCUCUAUCGUGCUCUUCUCUGAUUAUUAGGGUUCCACUACUCUGAUUUCAGAGAACUUAUGAAGUCUCAAUUCAGUAAUCUCUUCGAGAUUAAGGUCGAAUGAUUUACUGAUUUCAGAGAUCUCAAAUCCAAAAUCAAGCCCUAAUCUCAAAUCCGAGAACUGACCUAGCAGCGCAGUUCUUCACCAUGAUUCGAUCUAUUAAUGGAAGUAAACUCGUUCCACCAUGAUUUCAUCUCAGUUGUUGCAUUAUAUUCUUCGAUCUAUCAAUAUUUUUUUGCUUCCUUUUUACCGUGAACCAUUUUCUUCUUCAAUCUUUUACUGUAAAUUCUCAUUGCUUUUGUUGUUUUUGCUGUGCAGGUGGAGAUUAAUAGGUUAAGUAAAGAGCUAAUUCGGUUGAAGGAUCAGAAGGUUUGGUGAUUUGAUUGUUGUUGUUGAGAUUUUGCUUGAAGAAAUAAAGAUGGAACUUGGGCAUUAUUCAGAUUUGAUAAUAUGGGUUCUGAAUGAAUAAUAGAGCUUGUUCUUGGACCCGAGAUGGAAAUGACUGUGGUGGUUACGGUGAAUCUGAGUUUUAGAUUCAGAGAAGAUGGAGGUUCACAUUGAAAUCUGUUUGUAGCUUUUGUGGGGUAUUAAGGUGCAGACUGUAUUGGCUUCUUUCGAGAAUUCAGUGAGUACAUGCUAGAAAGGGCAACAUGACAACUGGUUUUAGCGGGAAGAUAUUAGCUGAGAAGCUUUCUCAGCUCAACAAUUCACAGGGAAGCAUUGAAUGUAUCCCUUGAGACUCUUCUCACAUCCAAAUUAACUGAUGUAAUAAUUUCAACAGUUUGAUGUCUUACAAAUGACUAGUUUGUUUGUGAUCCUAACUGUUAGGAACAUCGAUUCUGAAUAGCAAUAUUUUUAACUAAGGAGAUGGUUUUAAAGAAUGUGUUUUUUUAGUCGGUAGAUUGGUUGUCUUUUUUUUUUCUUUUUUUGGGCAAACUCCCAGGGGAGGAUUUUACUUAAAAAAUGAGAUAGAAAAACAGAAAUAGGAGGAUUAGAGUUUGAUCAAAACCGUAGUAAAAGAAAAUAGGUUGGUCUAGUUGGAUCUAAUUACUGAGCCUGUGUUUGAUCUCUCUUCUUCUUCUUCUCUCGUUUAGCUGUUUUUGGAGUAUAUAUUGGAAUUUCUAGGGUAUGAAUCUGAAACUCUUCGCAUCUGCAUUUUAGCCUUUAUCCUUCAAGUUUGAUUCUCGUGCCUAUAUGCAUUGCCGAUUAUUAUUUAUAGCGAAUAUUUUAUUAACUUCUGGUCAGCAUUACCAAGUUGGUGUAUUUUUCAUCGGAAAAAAGCGAAGCAAGUUCUUGAAACAUGGGAUAAGCUGUUUAAAAGUCAAAAAGAAAAACGUGUUACAUUUUUAUACUUGGCAAAUGAUAUUUUGAAAAUUGGUAAACGGAAAGGAAGUGAGUAUGUGAAUGAAUUUUGAAGAGUCCUACCUGCAGCUGUUAAGGAGGUACUUGAGAAUGGUGACGAAAAUGGAAGGAAAGCAGCCACCAGGCUUGUCAGUGAAUUUUCUUUCCCUUUUUUUUUGAUAUCAGGUACGGUCGUGGUUGCGGAUGGAAGGGCAGGGUUGUUACGAACCCGUUUUACGAACCCACAAGCCUUUUCCCGUGGAGUUAGAACCUGGAAUUUUGGGAAAUAUUUUUGACAAAUUGGAAGCAUCAUACAGCUUAACUAUAAAUGGAGCAUAAGGAAGAAGAGUCUGUCGAAGAUGAGGCGCUUGUGAUAAUAAUAUGGGAAGCAAUUGGAUGGCUAGGUGUUUUAACUCUUUGGAUUUCCGUUCUUUCUGGAUACCUGGUCAAUGCGAUAGAGGUAUCAUAUACGACCCUGUACCGGGCCUCUAUUAUCAUGCGACUCAUUUAGUACUGGUACGCGUAUGGGUGUUAUAAACAUACUCAAUCCUAUUAAGCUGAUUUAAAUGUUUUCAUUGUUUUAACAACAACAACGUGACCUUUUAUAUACUUAAAAACUAUAAAAUACACUCAAUUAGGUAGCACAUUUCCUUAACUCACUUGAAUGCAUCCUAAUGCUGCCUUAUUAAGUUUUAAUUCCAUUUGGUUGCACAUUGGAAUCAGCAAAAAACUUACAGAUGUCAUGCAGCAAAAAUGUCACUGAUGCAACUCUUUCUAUCUCAGGUUGCUUGUGGCAUUGUGGACAUAGUUAAAGGAGAUGCUGAUAAUCAGUCAAAUGUCCUGCAGUACGUCAAAGAAUUGUAAAAAAAAAAGAGUAAGUAACAUAGUUAAAGGACUGGAGUCCUCUAUAACUUGUGUGAAUGGUUGAUUUGUUGUUUGCUGCAGAUAUUAAGCGGCUUCAUGCUGGGAAAAGUGGAAGACUAUCUCCAACUGUUAGUGGAUAGCUAAUUUUCAGUUAGCCAUAGAAAGCUUAAAACCACACCACUCCUACAGUGGAUGUUCUUUGUGCAAAUUCUCUAGAUAUACUUGAGAAUCAUCUCUGAUCAAAGCUUAAAUCUAAUACAUAAAAGAUUAACCUGAAUGUAUCUUUUCCCGCAGCAACCGGAUUCCUGAAACUGCUUUGAUUGCAACAAGAAGCUAUACUUGUUUGAGCAUGAAUUGGAAAAGGAACAUACUGGGGAAGGUGUACAAGCAGCUGAAAGCUUUGUGGUCCUUGAAGGCUACAACUAGUUGGGAGGGAAUCUCGGAUUGAUAAAGUAUAGAUGAUUCCAUAUAGUUGGGAGUUAGGAAGGAAUCUCAGCUGGAAAAUGGACUAUGACACUCCCUCCCUGCUCACCCGUAUGUUUCUCUACUGAGGUUUCUUUAUUUGGCUGUUACUUGUCAUUAUUUGAAAAGCAAAACAAUUUAGGAAAUAACUCUAUGUUUGCUAUUAGUUACAUCCUUUCUCAUUUCUUAUAAACUAAAGAGUAAACCCAUG